ACCGGUAUUCUUUUUCUUGCUCUCUGUCAGCUAUGCUUCACACAGAGCCGUUGCCGUAGUGACUGACUGACAACAGCUCCAGCUCCAGCUCCAAAAACCAAGCAAACAUUUCUCACACAAAGGAAAGACACAAGUUUUACUUGAUUGUCAUGAGCUAGCACCACGCUCUUACCAAAUAAAGGAAGUGUUAGCCAUGCCAGCCAAGGGAAAGUACCUGCUGAAUAACCAGGAGCUCAAAAAUGAGGCACUCUACCGCAGAUUCUCCUGCAUCAGCCAGUAUCAGCCACUGGCUCUGCUGGGCCUCUCCAUAUUCUUCUGUCUGUAAAUCUGUAACAUUCAGUUGUUACAGAUUUAGGUGUUAAGGUUGUCAAAGUCAAGCUAGCAUAGCUCACCUACUUUUAAUUAAAACUUUUCCCUGAUCUGGUGAUAUUCUUGGGCCUUAUUAUUGUUGUGGUAUUGUUGGCUAUUAAUAACAAAGUGUCCCUUUUUUUUCACAUAUCAAACGUGCAUUUAAGAUUUACAGUGUUAUGUUGACAACUUGACAGCUAAAACCAAUGGUAGUCAUCUGCUAGCAGUUUUUUU